UUUUUUGUUGGCAUUGUAUUGUCAUUUCUUUCCACUUAAGAGUAGUGCAUGUCCCUUAGUAUAUCCCACCUCAUUUUUAGGUCAAUUCGGAAAACGCUUCAAAGCGCCUAUUACGCGAUGAUUUGUUAUUUAAAUGUUAAUUUCACUGUUGACUUUCAAACAUUUUGGUCCCUACAUAACAGUGUUCCAAUACAGUCUUCUAAACCAGUAUACUCUGAAACCGACCAGUUAUUCAUGUUGAUGUCAACAUAAUAAUAAAAUAUGAAAAAAAACAAGUUUUGGCGUCUGAAUAACCCUCAUAAUCAUAACUGAAAAAACAGGGACGUAAAACUACAUUAGCACCGUCACACUUAUAUGACUAGAACGCGUCGAAACGUAAAACAAUAUUUAUCAAAGGUCAACUUUGCGUGAACGAGAUUUGAACCUCAGUCUUAAAAUAAUUUCACAAUGCAUCAGUUGAGAAUGUAAUUACAGCAGUAUGUUAUAAAUAACAAAUGUAAAUUUGUGUAAGAUUUCAUCAACACUAUCAAACUUUAUCAUGAACAUACAUAAAAUACAUAGCAUGUUACAUAAAAACACACAUGAGUGACGCUAAAAGAAGCAUUCGCCAUGUUGAACCAUGUUAUAACAGUGCUAUACAACGACUCAUUAGGAAGAGUUCAUGCGUCAGAGUAUAAAUAAAUGUAUGUACUUUCCUUGGUUCAAGAAACAACACAUAACAUAACAACAGUACAAUUUUAUUAUUCAAAUCUUUACAAAAACAGAACAAUGUCAAUUGCAAAUCCAUAAUAGGUCGUAUAAGUAAACUUUUACUCAUGUCGAAGGUCCUCAAGUUGUUAUUAUUUAAUUAAUUACAAUAUUUUCUCAUUUUAGCUGUAAUACCUGUAACGGGUAAAUGGCGCACAUACAUGGUGUAAAAUAGCACUAGAGAACGCAGAAACAGGAAGAAAACAAAUAUUGAUAAAGAUGAAUAAUUUGAAUAAAAGUCUUGAUGUUUUCUUUGUUA